rnacentral:rRNA from 1 species
GAUGAACGCUAGCGGCAGGCCUAACACAUGCAAGUCGAGGGAGGAGCUUUCGGGCUUCGACCGGCGUACGGGUGCGUAACGCGUAUACAAUCUGCCUUUCACAUAGGGAUAGCCCGAAGAAAUUUGGAUUAAUACCUAAUAGUAUAUAGAUGUGGCAUCACAUUUAUAUUAAAGCUGAGGCGGUGAAAGAUGAGUAUGCAUUCUAUUAGCUAGUUGGAGAGGUAACGGCUCCCCAAGGCGACGAUAGAUAGGGGUUCUGAGAGGGAUAUCCCCCACACUGGUACUGAGAUACGGACCAGACUCCUACGGGAGGCAGCAGUGAGGAAUAUUGGACAAUGGUCGGAAGACUGAUCCAGCCAUGCCGCGUGCAGGAAGACGGCCUUAUGGGUUGUAAACUGCUUUUGCAGGGGAAGAAUAAGGAGUACGUGUACUUUGAUGACGGUACUCUGCGAAUAAGCAUCGGCUAACUCCGUGCCAGCAGCCGCGGUAAUACGGAGGAUGCGAGCGUUAUCCGGAAUCAUUGGGUUUAAAGGGUCCGUAGGCGGGCUAAUAAGUCAGAGGUGAAAGCGCUCAGCUCAACUGAGCAACUGCCUUUGAAACUGUUAGUCUUGAAUGGUUGUGAAGUAGUUGGAAUGUGUAGUGUAGCGGUGAAAUGCUUAGAUAUUACACAGAACACCGAUAGCGAAGGCAUAUUACUAACAAUUAAUUGACGCUGAUGGACGAAAGCGUGGGGAGCGAACAGG